rnacentral:rRNA from 1 species
CUACGGGGUGCACCAGUGAGGAAUAUUGCACAAUGGGGGGAACCCUGAUGCAGCAACGCCGCGUGGAGGAUGACGCAUUUCGGUGUGUAAACUCCUUUUAUAUGUCAAGAAAAUGACGGUAGCAUAUGAAUAAGCACCGGCUAACUCCGUGCCAGCAGCCGCGGUAAUACGGAGGGUGCAAGCGUUACUCGGAAUCACUGGGCGUAAAGGACGCGUAGGCGGGCUUGUAAGUCAGGUGUGAAAUCCUACAGCUUAACUGUAGAACUGCACUUGAAACUACGAGCCUAGAGUAUGGGAGGGGGAGAUGGAAUUAGUGGUGUAGGGGUAAAAUCCGUAGAUAUCACUAGGAAUACCCAAAGCGAAGGCGAUCUCCUGGAACAUAACUGACGCUAAGGCGUGAAAGCGUGGGGAGCAAACAGGAUUAGAUACCCCUGUAGUC